rnacentral:rRNA from 1 species
UACGUAGGGUGCGAGCGUUAAUCGGAAUACUGGGCGUAAAGCGUGCGCAGGCGGUGAUGUAAGACCGAUGUGAAAUCCCCGGGCUUAACCUGGGAACUGCAUUGGUGACUGCAUUGCUGGAGUAUGGCAGAGGGGGGUGGAAUCCACGUGUAGCAGUGAAAUGCGUAGAAGAUGUGGAGGAACACCGAUGGCGAAGGCAGCCCCCCUGGGCCAAUACUGACGCUCAUGCACGAAGCGU